CGGGUUCAGACUCUCUUGACUUCUGGUGACCCCGCAACGGGGAGCUUUCUGCUUUGUCUGUGCUCCGGUGCUGAGGCAAUCAUUCCUCCAAAUCGGGUCUCUCAGUGAGCCGUGUUGACCGACCCUUUUCAGGGAAGGGGCGCGAGGGUCUGUGGCCACAGAAAAGUGGACGGCCUCGGCCAGAAAAACGGCAGAGGCUCCGGUUUCCCAAGCAAGCGAGUGAGCGCCGUUUCUAUUUUCUGGACUCACAGGACGCCCAGAAAUUUCCGUUUGCUCCCACGUUCACGUCGGCUCCAGAACUGAGCUGGAUCCGUGGUGGUGUUGAGACGGCCGAUGUUGGUAGGGCCGUGGCAGUGCCUGAAGCCACCCUUACGGGGCAACGUGGUCAGCUGGGUAACGGCCCCCCCAAAGAUAGUCCGUGUCCUAAAGCGUGGCGCCUGCGAACCCCGCCUUCUCCGGCCCCAAGACGACCUUGCAGAUGCGACCGAGUUCCAAUUUUGGGGGUGCGGAGAGUGUGUUGGGGGGUCUAGGUAGGCCCUGAACGCGAUCGCGAGUGUUCUCGGAGAUGGGGGAGGGGGAGAUUCCACGCAGAGAAGUAGAAGCCGUGUGGGCCCAGAGGCAGAGGCUGAGCCCCGGGGCCGUGAGUCGAGAAAAGGCAGCAGCUGUCAGAAACUGGAGGAGGGGAGGAAGUGGAGUCCCCCCUGGAGCCACCAGAGGAAGCCAGCGUGCUGACACCUUGAUUUUUAGCUCAGCAAAACGAGACGUCAGACUUCUGGCUUCUAGAACCGUGAGAGAAGAAAUUUCUGUCGCCGUAAGCCUCCCAGUUAGUGGUAGUUUGUUACAGCGGCCUUGGGACACGGACGCGGGGCUGCCGAGGACACGUGGAUGCUGUUGUUGGACGUGGCUCGCAGCAUCCAGGAGCCUCUAGCUGUGCUGGGGACGUUCCCCGCCGAGAACCUGGAGAGAACAGAGCUUGGGAGCCCUGCCCUUUGCUGGUGCCCGGGGCGGCCGGGCUCUAAGGCUCAUUGGGAAGGUCAUCAGCUGGUUCCUGGUCCCAGAUCCGGUUCCCUGGAGACAGACCUGAAGCAGGAUUUGUGUCCCGGCGGUAAAGGCCACGGGAGCAACCAGGACGGGUGAGGAAGGACAGAAGGAGAGACAACACCCCAGAGAUGCCGCUGUGAUAUUUAGGACGGAAGUACGUGCAUGUCCGCACGAUGCUAGUGGGUUCCACAACGUCUAUGACUAUCGGCUGCGCAGAAAAAUUGGCGAAAAGCUCAUCGCCGAGUCUAAGUCGCAGACAUAUGGGACGCAGUCGCUUCUACUAUGAAAAUUUCGUAACGACGGGGCGCCUGGGUGGUGCAGUCGGUUAAGCGUCCGACUUCAGCCAGGUCACGAUCUCGCGGUCCGGGAGU